GGCAUAAGGGAGCUUGACUGCGAGACCUACAAGUCGAGCAGGGUCGAAAGACGGACUUAGUGAUCCGGUGGUUCCGCAUGGAAGGGCCAUCGCUCAACGGAUAAAAGCUACCCCGGGGAUAACAGGCUUAUCUCCCCCAAGAGUUCACAUCGACGGGGAGGUUUGGCACCUCGAUGUCGGCUCAUCGCAUCCUGGGGCUGUAGUCGGUCCCAAGGGUUGGGCUGUUCGCCCAUUAAAGCGGUACGCGAGCUGGGUUCAGAACGUCGUGAGACAGUUCGGUCCCUAUCCGUCGUGGGCGUAGGAAAUUUGAGAGGAGCUGUCCUUAGUACGAGAGGACCGGGAUGGACAUACCUCUGGUGUACCAGUUGUCGUGCCAACGGCAUAGCUGGGUAGCUAUGUGUGGACGGGAUAAGUGCUGAAAG
rnacentral:rRNA from 1 species